rnacentral:lncRNA from 1 species
GUGUAUACUUUCAACACCCCCACUCUAGCUUGAGUUUUGCAAAUCUUUUGUUCAAGAUUGUUUGUGUUCUUCUGCUGGGUUUUCUCUUUAGAUUAGGGCUUUUCAUGACAAUCUGAACCCUAAGAUCUUGUUAUCUUUCUCAUGGUGUUGGUUUGAGGUUCUUGAAUAAAUUAGAACUUAGUGAAGAUACAACAGGAUGUCUUUGUGAAUAAAGACAUACAGCAGUGCUUGCAUUUGUUCCGAAGGAUACGGUAUCUGCAUUUGCUUGAUCUGUUCAUAGUCUGUAUUCCACGAUUGCACUUUAUUUGAUCAUCGAAGGCAAAAACUGGACGUGCAAGAUCUGUUUAUUCAACUUUUGUGGGAUAUGGCCAGUUCAGUCUAUCUGGUGAAUACAGAAAAUCAAAAGUUUUAUCCCUAAAAUCUUGGGUUUCUUUUGGCUGCGGAAAAUAUUUCUUGUGUUCUUCACUUUGAACUCAUAACCCUAAGUGAAGGUUACGGUUCUUGGUGCGUGAAUAUGAUUACCCUAAUAUAGGGCGCUCCCGAGGUUAGAUCGUUCCAUUCUUGACUUUAGUUUGUUUUUUGUUAUUUCCUCGAUUUUAAUUGUUUUAGGCAUUGUUUAACCGGGUUAGGGGGACCGGUAUUGAUAACAGGGAGAGCCACACCCUGUAUUUCUAUGUUUUAUCUUGUUAUGAUUUAUUGGUUAUUAUCUGGUUGCAAGAUUGUUUGCUAUUGUCUUGGUAAAUCUACUUGUUACUUGUAUUAAUCAAGAUUAUACAAACUGUGUGUUUCUUUUCGUGUUACAGUUUCUCUAAAUCUCAAAAAUUGCUCUUGUGUUGCUUUAGUUAUGGACAUGAUUUGGUUCUGCUUAGUGGUUUGAUUCGGUAAUCGUAGAUUAAAGUUUUUUCAACUUUCAUAUUUAGUUGUAUCUUAGAUAUGAUGUUAAUCAUGAAGUUAAAACUUAAAGGAUUCAUGCAUCUUUGUCUACUUUGUCUGGGCCGUUUUAUGACUGUUAAUCAUAAUGUUUGUAUUUGUUCUCUGAUUAUGAUUGUUUGUUUUUUGAAUAUCUUGUGGUUUAUCGACAAGUCUCUAUCUAAAUGUUUGGUUUGUAGCUCUAUCGAUGUCAUCAAUUGUACUCCGGAUUUUUCUCUCAAGGGUAUCAUUAGCUUUACUGGUACGCAAAAUAGAUCAAGGAUUCUUGUAAGUGUUGAAUCCUUUAGAUCUAGUGGUGUGUUCUGUACAGAUUGUCAUGUUCGUGAUUUGUUCGGUGGUCUAGUGCAUAUUCCGAGAGUUGUCUUGUUAUCUGCGUAUUCCGAGAGUUGUCUUGUUAUCUGAGAGUUGAUUGAUUAAAGAUUUUGAUUGUAACUCUUCGUGAUUGUUGAGGAAUUGGUUCAUAUCACUUGUCUUAGAGGUUGUCGCUCUCGUCUUUUUGAGUAGUUUUUUUGGUCUUAAAGAGGGUUGCUUUUAACAAAUAAAAGUGAAUUAUUUUUUUUUAUUUUCUUGGUGGUUGUAGUCUGAGAAAAGUUAUGGUGUGUUCAAAAAUAUAGAAAGUCUUGCUUCAUAAAACAAAACAAAAAAUUGUAAGAAGUUCAUAAAAAAGUUCAAUUGAGCACUGUUUUUCUAAGUGUUUUCUCUUGUGAGUUCUUCACAUCUACGUACUUGUUGUGCUUAGAUCUAGUGAAUCUGAUUCGUGUUUAAUCUGUUAGAAAUAUGGAUUGGAGGUGUGGAUUGUCAUGUUAAUAAUCGGUGAUUGUAGAGUGUGUGUGGAAUCUCUGUUGUGUGAUGUGUUUUUGUUCCUCUUCAAAUCGUUAUGUUCUUGUCAAUUUCGCUCAUCAUACAUUUGUCAAUUGAUUUUUUAAAAGUGAAAAACUGUGAGACUAAUUGAUUCUUAAGAAUGUUUUAAUUAGAUAUUAUCCGAAUCUUAGGUAAUCUUUUAAGUGCGUUCUCUGUUCUUUCAAGCGUAUUCACUGUUCUAGACCUAGGUUAUUGAUUCUCAUUGAAUAUGUUGUAAUUGUUAGGUUAGAAGAUUGAUUAUCAUUGUGAUAAACAAUGUUUGUUCGUGAGGAUUGAGUUCUAUUUUUUGAUUUGAGAGUUCUUUGUGUAUUAUUCACUGGAUUCUUGUGUUCUUGUUAGUUUUAUCAGGUUGUUGAAGAUUUACUGAGAUUAAGUCUGAUUGAUUAGCAUUUUUUGAAUACAAUUUGUUUUUGAUGCUUUAUCUAAUAAAUAAGUUUGACUAAACGGAAAAGUUGUUUUUGAUAUUGUUUCAUGUUUACUCAAGUGUCAAAAUAUUUGUUUGUGUUUUGAACACUUUUAAAUGUCCUUCGACUGUGGUCCGUAUGUCUACCUGUCUAUAAUGUUGUUGAAUGGUUAGCGAACCAUGUGGUUCGAAGUAGUUUAAUAUAUAGUAUUGUCAAGGUUAUAUUUGAAUAUGUUUGACGACCUUGUAUGGUUUCUUGCAUGUGAUUGUUUUUCUUGUAAAGGUUAUGCUAUAUUGAAGAUGUAUUCUUCGAUAGUGUUUUGUCUUUAUCUCACUGGUCUAGGACUCUUCAUAUUUUGAGUCCGACCGUAGUGAGGUUUGUGUAGGAUCAUGGUGUUGGUGAUCUUAUUUGUCUCUUUGAGACCUCAUCGCCGAUCGUAGUGUUGUUAGUUCACUGAUCUAGGUGAUAUUUUUUUACCACACUGGUCUAGGGUCGUUUGUAGAUUCUUCGUGUUGUUGAGUCUAGUCCUGUUAAAUCGUAGUGUUGGUUUCUAUUGUGCUUCGUGUUGUCGAUCUAGUUUUAUACAGACUUGUUCUGUAGGUGCACUGGUUUAGAGUUGUCGUUAGUUUCUUGUAUUGAUCGAAUAUAAUAAGCUCUUAAGAUCAAAGUGCUGAUUUGUAUCAGAUUUUGUAUCAGACUUUUUAUCUAAUUUUAUCUGCAUGAAUUGUUGUCCGUUGUAGAGUCAUGUGUGUCUCAGUUUUAUCGGAUUUGUUUUGCUGAUUGUAGAACUGUGUGGGUCGUGAAUUUGACCGUAUCUUGAUGGGUUUUUGUUUAUCAAAUCGUAUCAUGAUGGUUUGUUUGACCUGUAUCAUGAUGGUUUGUUUGGCCCGUAUCAUGAUGAUGUAUUUGAUCCGUAUGUUUUGUUUCCUACAAUGUUGUCAAGAUUAUUCUUGAUCGCUAUGACAGCCUUGUAUACUUUCUCUCGUGUGAGAUGGUUUUGUUUUUUGGUUGCAAAAUCAUGUGGUUUGUAUAUCAAAAAAGGUUUUUGGCUGUGUGUUUGUUUUCUGAUGUAGAAUUUUGUAAUUCUUGUUUCGUCAGAUUAAUUUUGAAUCAUGUGAUUCAGUAUUUUGUGAUUCAUGGGUUUGUGAAGUCAUAAAAGUUUUGGAUUUAAUGAAAUGUAUCUUUGUCUUUAUAAUGCUUUGACAUGAAUCUAAUAUUUUCCUCUUCAGGAAAAUACUUUCCGUACUUGAGUCUAAUUAAUUUUGAGUUUUUUUAGAGUUUUUUGACUCUUCAUUGCAUCAUAUAUGUUUGUGAUAUAUGUGUUGGUGUUUUCAGAUAUUUUCACUUUGUCUCUCUCUCUCGUUUGUUAUCACAAUUGGAUCUAGAGUUUGUUACGUUGCUGUAAUCUCCUGUUAGAUCAUAGUGUUGUGAGUUAGAAUAGAUCGUCUAAUUGAUGAUCUAACUAAAGUGAGUAAGAGUGUUCGUAUCGUGAGUUGUUAUCUGUUGUAGUCUUGAGGUUUGUUAUAAUGAGUUUUCUUGAAUUGUGUUUGGUAUGUUGAAAGUGUGUUUUAUUUUAUUUGCUAUUUUUGCAUAAUACACUUCAUUAAAGUUGGGCUGUUUCGAAGAUGGGCUAAAUGCUUGCUACUACUAGACUGAGGUGCGGAUAUUGGUUCGCUUGCCAGGACACGGCCCGACGCAUCUAUCAAGUGGACAUGGUUCAAGUUUGUUUAUAGGGUUUCUAUCUGGAUUUAUAUAAAAGAUGGUGUUAAGUCAAAGAACCAACAGGCUUAAAGUCGAAGAAUCAACAGGCUGACAUUUAAAACAUAAAAGGUUUGUUUGAUGUUUGGUAAUACAACUGAGGGGGGAGGGGGGUGUUGAAAGUAUACACUUUUAUUCUCCAGUUAUAUUACAAACUAUUUAUUUUAUGUUGUUUUAAUAUAAUAAUUUCUUUUAUUUUGUAUGUUACUGGGCCUGCUGUUGAUGGACUGCUCAAGAGUUAUUUUGGGCUUAUAAGACUAAAUGGACUGUCAAGCAGCAGAUUGGACUUAGUGGGCCGGGCUCUCCAGAGUAAAGACUUGAAGCAGUGUGGAGCUCCGAAUCAGGGGUGUUGCAUCUCUCUCCAUCUGUCGAGCAUGAAUAAGUCCCAUCAUUGCCCAUGCAGUGUGCACCAGAUUCGACCCACGUUCCAAGGGUAUAUAUUUCUGUUUGGAUUUGUAGCUUUCUCCCCACCCACCGUCCUCCAUCUGUGUUUCCAACAGGAAUUUGACGCCUUUUUGAACCGCGAGACAGUUCUCGUAUGUCUUUCCUGCUGCUGCUAGUCCUCCAAGGGCAAACCAGGCAGGAACAAACCAUGAGCCAUCUUGCAUCUGUACUUUCUCUAGAUAUAUACCUCCAGCCAGUCUGAUGCUCCUGCUGGUUCCCACGCGGCUAAUCCACCAUUUUUGCUCUACAUUAUCAUCGCAGUCGAGCAGAACUUGUUAAGAUCACAUUUGAUGAUUUAGAAUGUUUUGUUAAGAAUUUUUAUAUUAUGAAUUUGAUACAUUUUAAGUUUCAUUGUACAUUGACUAACCUGUAAGGAAAGCAUUACGUU